rnacentral:rRNA from 1 species
AGAGUUUGAUCCUGGCUCAGGAUGAACGCUGGCGGCGUGCCUAACACAUGCAAGUCGAACGGGCUACUUCGGUAGCCAGUGGCAAACGGGUGCGUAACACGUAGGUAAUCUACCCAGGAGACGGGGACAACGGAUGGAAACGUCCGCUAAUACCCGAUGACGUCGAGAGACGAAAGGCGCAAGCCACUACUGGAGGAGCCUGCGGCCUAUCAGGUAGUUGGUGGGGUAAGAGCCUACCAAGCCGACGACGGGUAGGGGGUGUGAGAGCAUGACCCCCCACACGGGGACUGAGACACGGCCCCGACUCCUACGGGAGGCAGCAGUGAGGGAUAUUGGGCAAUGGGCGCAAGCCUGACCCAGCGACGCCGCGUGGAGGACGAAGGGCUUCGGCUCGUAAACUCCUUUUCCCGUGGACGAGAAGCGGACGGUACACGGGGAAUAAGUCUCGGCUAACUACGUGCCAGCAGCCGCGGUAAU